rnacentral:rRNA from 1 species
GACGAGGGAUCCUAGCGUUGCUCGGAAUCAUUGGGCGUAAAGCGGGUGUAGGUGGCUUGGUAAGUCAGAUGUGAAAGCCCAGGGCUCAACCCUGGAAGUGCAUUUGAAACUGCUAAGCUUGAGUGCUAGAGAGGUUAUUAGAAUACCUGGUGUAGUGGUGAAGUACGUAGAUAUCAGGUGGAACACCGGAGGCGAAGGCGGAUAACUGGCUAGACACUGACACUGAGACCCGAAAGUGUGGGGAUCAAACAGG